rnacentral:rRNA from 1 species
CUACGGGAGGCUGCAGUGGGGAAUAUUGCACAAUGGGCGCAAGCCUGAUGCAGCCAUGCCGCGUGUAUGAAGAAGGCCUUCGGGUUGUAAAGUACUUUCAGCGGGGAGGAAGGGAGUAAAGUUAAUACCUUUGCUCAUUGACGUUACCCGCAGAAGAAGCACCGGCUAACUCCGUGCCAGCAGCCGCGGUAAUACGGAGGGUGCAAGCGUUAAUCGGAAUUACUGGGCGUAAAGCGCACGCAGGCGGUUUGUUAAGUCAGAUGUGAAAUCCCCGGGCACAACCUGGGAACUGCAUCUGAUACUGGCAAGCUUGAGUCUCGUAGAGGGGGGUAGAAUUCCAGGUGUAGCGGUGAAAUGCGUAGAGAUCUGGAGGGAUACCGGUGGCGAAGGCGGCCCCCUGGACGAAGACUGACGCUCAGGUGCGAAAGCGUGGGGAGCAAACAGGAUUAGAUACCCCGGUAGUC